UACGGAGGGUGCGAGCGUUGUCCGGAAUCACUGGGCGUAAAGGGCGCGUAGGCGGCGCGGGAAGUCAUCGGUGAAAGUUCAGGGCUCAACUCUGAAUCGGCCGGUGAUACUCUCGUGCUCGAGCACUGUAGAGGCAGGUGGAAUUCCGGGUGUAGCGGUGGAAUGCGUAGAGAUCCGGAAGAACACCGGUGGCGAAGGCGGCCUGCUGGGCAGUGAGCUGACGCUGAUGCGCGACAGCGUGGGGGAGCAAACAGG
rnacentral:rRNA from 1 species